GGAGACAACAGCAUUAAUGAAUGGAGAGAUUAUGGAAAACACUUCUAUAUAGUGACUGUUGCAUUUAAAUAAAACCUUUCUGCUUUUAUGAGCGUUUAAAACUGGAAACAUUUCUAAAAUGAAUACUGCAUGCUAUUAGCCUGUGAAAAGUAACAUGACAGAGGGUUUCUUUUUUAUUUUUGUUUUUAUGGUUAUUUUUUUCAGUCUGGGGAUUGUUGUUUAGGGGUAGAAAAGUGAAGUACAAGUCAAGGUGUGGAACCAAAUGUUUUCUGUGUAAACUUUGUUGAUGAGUCAGGGCAGAUAAGUGCUAUUUGUUGGCCCCAGGGAAAAGGAAAAAUAAUACCAGCACAGUCAGAGGUUGUGAUCGAAGCAUGCACACUUGUUCGGCCUGAUAGAAAGGGUUAUGUGAGCUUGGUAGAACCAUGUAAAGAUGAUGUAUUGCCAGGCCAGUUAUUGGUAGCCCGAUCAUUGAGCACCGUUUCAAAUGGUAGAGUUAUAGUCAGAAUCGUAAACCUUUCUCCAGUUCCGUUGAUGCUUUUUCAGAGUUGUCGGUUAUUUCUGAUGUUGAGUUGUGUCCAUCAAGGUCACGCAGGGAAAUGUAAAGUUAAGACCAUUGGUUAAUGAGACUUUGGAGGUCCAUAUUGUCCAUCUAGAUUUGGUCUUCAAACAUCUAUGGGGACUCAGUAAUUGUUCCCAUGUAUUUGGGCCAUGUGAUUGCAGAAGGAGGGGUGUCAUCAAACCCAGAGACGUUCCGGGCAGUGGAGGCCUGGUUACUGAGGACCUGGAGGAGGGUCACGAGUUCGAGACAGUGGCACAUAUGGAUCAUGGAGACAGGCCAAGGAGAGGUGGGCCCAAUGGACUGAUCCAGUGCUAUUACGACUCUGGAUCUAUGCGGACAGAGGGAGAGGGCACUCUCCAAGAGAGCGAGUAGCAGAAGAUCGGUCUACCCAAGUGUUGUUGUGACAUUGGGCCUGCCUCUGUGUGGAUCAGUGACUGCUGUGUAGGGAGGUAUGUGAUCCAAAGACAUUUGACAAAUGCAAGCAAAUAGCAGUGUCUGCAUUCACAAGUUCUGGAACGGUUGCAUGACCAUGCAGGACGCCUGGUUGACAGGGUUUGAUCCGUCAACGUUUUUUUCUUUGGACCGGGGCUGGUACGAGAAGUGGAGAGAUGGUGCCUUCAGUGUGUUCGAUGCAGCCUGCACAAGAAUCCUGCAAAUAAAAGACUGCUCAAUAUUGAUCUUUCUGAGAAGGCAGCUGGUUGAUUUGAAAAUUACCUCUCAGGCAGGACUCAACUUACAAGUUGUAUCAGGGGUCCCAGAGGGAUCGGUGCUGGGCCCAGUUUUAUUUACCAUUUAUGUAAAUUACCUUGGUUAAAAUGUCCAUAAUGCUCUGUUUAAUUUUUAUACUGACGACAGAAUUAUUUACACCUGUGGAGAAACCCUUCACCAGACUUUUCAGUAUCUGCAGGAUGCCUUCGACACUGUACAAUCUCGGCUGUCCAACUUGAAGCUUGUGUUGAAUGCAAGUAAAACCAAGACGGUACUGUUCUCAAAUAUUAGGAACUCCACAACUAUCCUUCCAAACAUUAUUACUCUGCAGGGAAAUCUAAUAGAGUGUGUGGCUGAGUACAAGUACUUAGGACUUUUACUUGACGACCAUUUGACUUUUAAGGCUCAUAUCCAAAAUUUUGCCCAGAAACUAGGGUUCUAUUUUAGGAAUAGGGCCUGUUUUUUCUUAUGUAAAAGGGAAGAAAUUAGUUGAGUCUACUUUUCUGCUUCUUUUGGACUAUGGAGAUUUUUUAUAUAUGCACGCCCCUAAUAAAAAUUUGCACCAAUUGGAUUCAGCUUAUCAAGGUGCAUUGAAAUUUAUUACAGGGUGCAAGCCUUUCACACAGUUGCACACUGUAUAAUCUAGUCCAGUGGCCCUCCCUUUCUCAGCGCAGGCUAACCCGGUGGCGAUUGUUUAUAUAUAAAUUAGUGCUGUCAAUCGAUUAAAAAAAAUUAACUAAUUAAUCGCACAAUUUUUUAAAAUUAAUCGCGAUUAAUCGCAAUUAAAAGACUGAAACUUUUUGGAUAUGUAAAUGUAAAAUGUAAAUAAUUAAUGUAAACUCAAGACAAAGAAACUAUUUAAAUUCAAAAUAUGAUUGUUUAUUGGAAUUUUUGUUCAACUUGUAACACAGAUUUUCUCAUGUAAACAACAUACCUGCAAUAAACCAUCAAUAUCCUCCAAAUUAACUGUUGGCUUGAAAGCCAUAUUUAUUACAGAAAUAAAAACACAGGCAUGUAAGUACCAUUUGAAUUUCAAAACAAUCAAUGCCAAUAAAAAACAAAAAUGAUUUCCAUGUUGAAUUCUAAGUGGACUGCAAAAAAAUUCCAAAGUAUAGUCAUUGCCAGUGCUUUAAGUGGGCCGAUACGCACCAGUACUCAGUACCUUCACUUCCAAAUAUAGCUC